AGAGUUUGAUCAUGGCUCAGGAUGAACGCUAGCUACAGGCUUAACACAUGCAAGUCGAGGGGCAGCAUGGGUCUUAGCUUGCUAAGGCUGAUGGCGACCGGCGCACGGGUGAGUAACACGUAUCCAACCUGCCGUCUACUCUUGGCCAGCCUUCUGAAAGGAAGAUUAAUCCAGGAUGGGAUCAUGAGUUCACAUGUCCGCAUGAUUAAAGGUAUUUUCCGGUAGACGAUGGGGAUGCGUUCCAUUAGAUAGUAGGCGGGGUAACGGGCCCACCUAGUCAACGAUGGAUAGGGGUUCUGAGAGGAAGGUCCCCCACCAUUGGAACUGAGACACAGUCCAAACUCCUACGGGAGGCAGCA
rnacentral:rRNA from 1 species